GACGAACGCUGGCGGCGUGCUUAACACAUGCAAGUCGAGCGGUAAGGCCCUUUCGGGGUACGACGAGCGGCGAACGGGUGAGUAACACGUGGGUGACCUGCCCUCAGCUCUGGGAUAAGCCUGGGAAACCGGGUCUAAUACCGGAUAUGACUCCAUGACGCAUGUUGUGGGGUGGAAAGCCUUGUGCGGCUGAGGAUGGGCCCGCGGCCUAUCAGCUUGUUGGUGGGGUGAUGGCCUACCAAGGCGACGACGGGUAGCCGGCCUGAGAGGGCGACCGGCCACACUGGGACUGAGACACGGCCCAGACUCCUACGGGAGGCAGCAGUGGGGGAAUCUUGCGCAAUGGGCGAAAGCCUGACGCAGCGACGCCGCGUGAGGGAUGACGGCCU
rnacentral:rRNA from 1 species